CUCCCCACCUCCUCCUGACACAGCAGCGCGCUCGCAGCUGUGGCACCGACAGCCGUGAGGCUCUGAAGGCAUUUGGGUGCUGAAGAUGCACUCCCUCUAAUGUCCAGCUGGAUCUUGCCCUGUGCUAAAGCGACUCCCCCAGACUGCAGCGAGAGCACGCCGUUCCCUCGAUUGCCCGUGAGUCACCCGCCUGAAAUCACGCCUUAAUACCAUCGUCUUUCCAGUAAACCUACCAGUGAAGGCAGAUGUUGACUGGGAAACCGAACUCCAGGCGUGUGCGGUGUUUGCUGAUCAUCGCCGGUUUGUGCCCCUCAUGUAGCAGCUGUGCCUCCAGCGGGGGAGGACGAGGGGGGGCUCGGGGCAUCUGCCUUCAGCCUGCGCUGCUCCCGCCUGCCUGUGCAGGGCGGGGGUCUCCUGGCAGGGCUGCAGCUCUCGAGCUCUUGUCACUGACCCACCUUUGGAGGACGAAGGUGGACGCAGCUGCCUUGGCUCCAAGCAGUGCUCCUGCAUCCCUUUGGGCUGCAGGCUCGUCCCUCUGGGAAAUCUGGCCUGUCUCACUGAAAGCAUCAAUCCCAAAUCGCUGAAGCUAAAAGAGGUGCAAGGAUUUAAUAUAUAGGGGAAAAACCCCCACUCCCCGUUAAAUGCUUUCCUUUGACUGCAGGGUGAACAGGAUCACACAGAGCUUGAGGGCUCAAAGCACGAGACAGCAAAAGGGGAGAUCACCAGUGGAUUGGCCACCUCUGGGGUAGCUGUUGUUACAAACCGCUUGCUGGAACUGGCUGUGUCAUGUUGGGUCAAGGCAAAGCAGUUCAUUUUUCCAGUGCAUUUAUUCUGUUUCUUUUCCAGUUGUUUUGAAACUACUGGAAAAGCGGUUCAAUGCCCCUGGAUUUUGGAAAAUAGUAUUCAUGCACACAGAUGCGGGAGUGCAUAAAGAAGGAACGCUAGAUACUUCUUUUAGUUGUAAGGAUGACUUCAUUUCUGGGGUGAACUGGAGGAUUAUAUGAUGGUUAGUUACAAAAUGCAUAGAAAUUGGUGUGGAACAGUGGGGAAGAUAAUUAUGUCUUGCUCUUCUCCACCUUUUCAGCACCGUUUGCUUCAUGCUGAAAUGAAAGGAAAUGCUUUUUUCCCUUUACAAUAAUAUGAAAUAAUUUUCCAGAAACCAUCCUGGCCCAGAUCGCCUUAAGCAGAGUUAUAAAACCUCAUCUGGUUCAGCACACAAUUCACAAGAGAGGGCGGCCAAACUGUACCCUGAUGGCUGGAUGACAUGCCCUUCCUGUGGGGUCCUGCGGCAUGCAAACCCAAAAGCUGUGGCCGGCCCCUAAUUUUACAACCCCGCUUCUUGGCCAUGCUCAAAAAUGUGACUUCUUGAAGUCUGCAGCUAAUGCUUCUCUCUGACAUUAAGAUCUGAUUCCUGAGAAAGGUGGAGGAGGCAGCGGGUAUGGGGGGCAGCCGGGGGCUGGUUACCUUCACCUGCAGGCGGCACAGCAGCAUUUCCCAGCUGCUGAUGAUAUUUUUACUCCCAUUUAAUUACUGCCCCAGUUAAUGAGGUUUAUAUCCUCUCCUUCCAUAGCUGUUUCAGAGGGCAUCUGAGGAGCAGGGUGGCAGGGGGCACCUCCACCCGCCAGCAGCGGAGGAAUGUCCUUUGCUGCCAAUGUCACACCUGAGGUGCGACAGCAGCAUGCUGCAUUGUGGGGACAGGAUAACGUAUUCCUUACACUUUUUUUUUUUUUUCUUUCUAAACUCAGAACACAGGUGAAAGAGCAAGGGUGAGAGAUUGAAGAGAGACUAAGCCACGGUAACAUGUAGCAAAGUGCCACAUGGAUCAGUGAAACAGAAACGACUCUGAAACCAGAACAGUGUGGACACAGUACAUUAGAAUACAGAAGAAAAGAGUAUUUUAUAUCUAUAGGAGAGGAGUUGAUACAGUAUUUCAGAAGAAAAUUGAGGUAAACCGAUGUAUUUGAGGAGCCACAAAAUUGAAAAGAUGAGAGCACUAAUAUGUUAGCUGGGAAAUCAGCUGUGUAUCUGAGCCUGCAGCUGGGGAGGAGAUACGAACAGAGCACACAGCUCCCUGCAAGUGCUGCAGGGCUGCAAAGUUUCCUGUCCCCAUGUCCCCAUUCCUCCUGCCAGCGCUGGCUCAGGGGUUUCUUCACGUUGCCUGAACCUGAGCCAUCCCGCUUGCCAGUGGCAAGGGGCUCUGUGGACCUGGCGUGUGGGAGCCUUUCCAUCCCUCCUGCCUGGCUGGAGCUGGGACAAAGCCGCAGGGACGAGGAUUUUCCAGCAGGGCUGGGGGUCACCCUGGGAGCUGGGCUGGUGGUUCCUGUCCAGCUGACAGGCUGACAGGCUUCUGCAGAAAUAAUUAGCAUGUGGCAGUAUUGCCUCCUAAUCCUUUAAAUAUAACUUAAACUUACAGCCUAAGGGCUCUGCCUUGCUUUCAGUGGGACUUUGCAGCUGCAGUUGUUAUUAUCCCGCCUAAGAGAACUCAGUUCCUUUUUUCUUCCCUUUUGGGGCAUUUGGAGCACAGCCCGUGCCAGCUUCAUCUGCCCAGAAGCUGCCUCAGUUCCUCAGGAAUGAAGCUGACAGUUUUUCAACGGCUGCUAACAGCCCACAGAUAACGUAGGUUUGUUCCCUGUUGUUCUUCUUCGAGAGCAGGGCCCCUCAAAGAGCAGACUGAACUCUGUAUCAAGAAGUCAAAGGGUUAAAAUAAUAUUGCCCCAGUGUGUCAUUGCUGACUAAGGUCCUGGGCUUAACAAGACCCCAAAUUGUUCCUGUUCCACUGAUGUAAUUUGUUAUCCUGAAUUUCCCCCUAUUUUACUAUUUCAGUGUUCCAGUCUCUCAAGUCAUAGCUUCAACAUGUAUUCUUCAGUCACUCUCUCAAAACCUGGCAGAAAUAUGAGUCUGGAUGAUAAACUAGUUCUGAUCUUGUCUGUAUUUGACAUUGUUCACCUGGCGAGCUGGUUCCCUGCUGAUAGGGGUGCUGAGGCUGAUUCUGUCCCCACCCCAUGUGUCUCUGGCUCGUUCCUUGCUGUUUAGUCACGUAAGUGGGAUGUGGUGGGAAAUGGUAGUGGUCCCCAAAGGGGGAUAAACACAGGGAAAAAUGACUUGUGCCUAUGUGGUGCAAUCCUCAAGCUGAUACAGAUCUUCAAUAAUCAGUGCAAUUUUUACCCGAUUUCAAUCCAGUGUAAUUUAUUAGGACAAGACUCUUUCCUCCUGCGGAAACAAUUUAUAUCCAGUUAUUUCUUAGCUUUUUUCUAUAGUCUUAUAGCUGGGGCAUCUCAGUGUUAGGGUCCCAGUGUUGAGGUGGCUUCAUUGCUACCAGCAGACCAUCAGCAUAAAUGAGGACAGACAGUAUUUUACAAGUAUUUUGUACUAGCUGGCACCAAGCAAUGGAAAGCUGGAAAAAACAAAACCACAGACUAUAGAGCAGAAUGAAUAAAAACAAAAAAAUAAGCUAGGUCCUUUAUUUUUGGAAACUCUCCAACAACCUCUAAUAUGCAUUAGUGAGAUAUCAACUUUCUGCCUUGCAGAAUGAACUAUAAAAUAUUAUAUCUUUAACCCUGCACAUUUUCAAGUUCCUUGUCCUUUAUUACAGCCACUGGUUUAUUAAAACUGGAAAUGGACCUAGACCAAACCUCUGCCUAUGUCUGAAUGGCAGCAUCCAAACCCUGCAGCUUUUGAAAACUGGUCUCUGAUGUUUAAAACAAAACCAAGCCCAACAUAACAGCAAACCACUUCUCAUUUCUCCUCCCAUAGUUCCCUACCUGAACAAAAAUCCUCACACCUGGAUGUACAAAGGUAUUAGGUUCAUGGGGUAGCUCCUUGCCUACUAAUGUUGAAGGCAAAACGCCCAGUGUGGUUAGCAGUGUCUGAGGAUUUAAACUCAAUCCUGCUUGAAACUUUCCAAGCAUAUAUGAUCAAUGAUGAGUUUGAAAGUAUAUUAUUUUUAUUUUUUUUAAGUCCAUUGAUGUGAUUUGUUCUGUUUGUAAGACUAACUGGCAGUAAAAGGUAUUAAUUUCCUAUCA